AUUAUUUAGAGCUAAAUAUUGUUAGUAUAUAAAAAUUAUGAAAACAAAAAAUCAUGGCGGUAUUUUAAGCUUUUCAGAGGAAUUUGCUCUUUAAUGGAUAAAACACCAAAAUCUUACUAAAAUUAGUUAAACAGUUUGUAUACCACUAUUUAAGUAAUAAUUUACUCUUAUUACUUAAAAUUAUUUAAUUAAAAAAAGUUAAGUCAAGGUGCAGCACAAAUUUUAGUAUGAAGUGAAUUACAUUUCUUAUAAGAGAAACCGUUUUGAAAAUAAGAUUUAGGAUUUGAAAGUAAAGUUUUAAUAGAAAGAAAAUUUGAAUAAAGCUCUAAAAUAUGUAC
rnacentral:rRNA from 1 species